GGAAUCGUGGCUCAGUGGUAGAGCGCUUGCCUCAUAUGCAUGAGGCCCUGGGUUCAAUCCUCGGUACCA
rnacentral:tRNA from 1 species